rnacentral:sRNA from 1 species
UUUUAUUCUUUUUCUUUUCACAGUCAAUCUAAAUCCCCAAAAACGUUCCCACCUAGUCCUACCAAGGCCGAAAACGCGGAUUGGAACUAUCUGAGAUACUACUCUUGCCGGCUCAAACCUACCACGUUCUACCAAGCUCAAUUUUGAAAAUAGGCCUUACGUGCUCUCACAAAAUAACAUGGCUUGAAAGAUUGGUUGGUUAAGGGUGGGGGAACUACUCCAAUAAUAGAAGCAGCUACUUGGAUUAACAAGAGUGGUGAAUAAGUUAAAGAAAAUCCAUGUAUGUAUUCUAUCCAUGAGUUCAAAACCGAUGCAAACAUGAUAAUUAUAAGUCAGAUUCAGGUUCAAAUUGACAGGGAAAGGUGUCAUGAUAUGCAUCUGAGUGGUUUCUAUAGAACAUGGUGCGGUUUUACUUCAAAGUCAUUCAAAUGCAUCCAAGAACUAAUAGCUCAUUUAGUGAAUCAUCAUGCUUACAAGGUUAUCUCCUUAUUAUCCCCUAUGCAUAUGCAACAAUCCUACAUGAAACAUCCUAGACUCAAUUCUAUAUGCAAUGCAACUAUAUGAACACUCAUGUUUU